GUGUCAGCAGCCGCGGUAAUACGUAGGUGGCGAGCGUUGUCCGGAUUUACUGGGCGUAAAGGAUGCGUAGGCGGAUAUUUAAGUGAGAUGUGAAAUACCCGAGCUUAACUUGGGUGCUGCAUUUCAAACUGGAUAUCUAGAGUGUGGGAGAGGAGAAUGGAAUUCCUAGUGUAGCGGUGAAAUGCGUAGAGAUUAGGAAGAACACCAGUGGCGAAGGCGAUUCUCUGGACCAUAACUGACGCUGAGGCAUGAAAGCGUGGGUAGCAAACAGGAUUAGAUACCCGCGUAGUCC
rnacentral:rRNA from 1 species